GUGUUCUCAUCACGUGUUUAACAAUUGUAUUUUGUCAGUCGUAGACUUCUUUUUUAAAAUCUGGCUUAUCGACAAUUACGAUAUUCAUGAUCGCACAUUGUACAUGCGUUUUUUAAUAUGGUGUGCAGUUUAUUUGUCAUGAUGACAAUUUUAGAAUUAGAGUUGGUAUCCAGUUCCCUAAUGACAAUGUUACAAAAAAAUAUAUAAAACUGUUUUUCCCGC
rnacentral:lncRNA from 1 species